GGAAGAAGAAGGAAGCCAAAGUAUCUGAUGCACUGGAGAAUGAAAACCCGUUCAAAAUCAGAAGUAUAGAGAAGUUUUCUGUAAAAUGGAAAUGAGUAUCAUGAAGUUUUAAAUGAACAGUGUAAAACAGAAGACAUCAGCAUUCAUUAGGUCCCAGACCUCUUUGAGAAUCUGAUGAAAUUCUGGACAACCUCUCCUCCCACAAACAAGAUGUACUAGAAUACCUACACAUAAAAUGUUGCAUUCAAUUUUGGAAUGUGAAGAGAUCAUUUGAAGCCGAUCCAGAGGCCUCUAAGAUGUCUUAAAACUAUUUAAGGGGAUCCACGCAAAAUGUUGUUCCCUUAAAAGAGGGCACAUCUCUCUCACGUGGAGAAAUACUGGUAAGAGGAAAAGACUUUCAAGUCAACCAACUUGAUGUGGUGUGCAGGUGCUGCAAUUUACUUCAGACAUUGCAUCUAUAAAAGAAAGAUAAGGUCUCGGCUGGCAAGAUGGCCUAAGAGGAACAGCUCCAGUCUGCAGCUCCCAGCAAGAUUGAUGCAGAAGUGACCGGAUCUCACUCUGGCACCUAGACUGGAGGGUACUGGCAUGAACUCCUGGGCUCAGAUGUCCUCCCACCUCCACCUUCUGAGUAGCCGGAAUUACAGGAAUGAACCAUCAUGCUCAGAUUUCAAGCUCCCUGAAGAUGAAGGCUGAAUCCUACACCUCGCUUGUAUCCUCCAUGGCUCAUUGAACAAGUGCUAGCUAGCUACAUGGAGACUGCUCAAUAAAUAUUGAAUAACUCACGAGGGACUCAAUAAAUAACGAUUGCUUAAUUGA